rnacentral:misc_RNA from 1 species
GAUGAAGAACGUAGCAAAAUGCGAUAAGUAAUGUGAAUUGCAGAAUUCAGUGAAUCAUCGAAUCUUUGAACGCACAUUGCGCCCGCCAGUAUUCUGGCGGGCAUGCCUGUUCGAGCGUCAUUUCAACCCUCAAGCACAGCUUGGUGUUGGGACUCGCGUUAAUUCGCGUUCCUCAAAUUGAUUGGCGGUCACGUCGAGCUUCCAUAGCGUAGUAGUAAAACCCUCGUUACUGGUAAUCGUCGCGGCCACGCCGUUAAACCCCAACUUCUGAAUGUUGACCUCGGAUCAGGUAGGAAUACCCGCUGAACUUAAGCAUAUCAAUAAGUGAGGA